rnacentral:rRNA from 1 species
CAACUUGGAGGAACGUAUAGCUUCGGCUAGUUAUACUUGGCUGUUUAAUUUAUUAUUGAGAUUCAUUUAACUAACUUUCCCUGUUAUGUCUCUUGGGCAAUAGGUUAUUCAUUUUGACUUUUUUGUAUAUUAAUUUUUUUUUAAUAAUUAUAAAACGCAUCCUUUGAUGCACACGUCAGUGAUUUUUGUCAAUUAAUUUGUCGCUGAUCGUAAGAUUUAACUAAUUUAUUAGUUCAGUGAACAGUAUAACAUCGAUUUUAUCGAAUAAAGUUCUAGAUAGUACUAUGAUCAUGACAAUUUACUAUCUAUAUGUCUUGACCAAAUUACGUGCCAGCAGUCGCGGCAAUACGUAGAAGACUAGUGUUAUUCAUCUUUAGUAGGUUUAAAGGGUACCUAGACGGUAUAAUUAGUCUUAAAUAAGAUACGGUUAUACUAGAGUUAUAUUUGAGGAGGUGAGUAUUCAUGGAGUAGAGUUGAAAUUCAUUGAUACCAUGAGGACUGGUAACGGCGAAAGCAAUCUCUUAUCUAUUAACUGACGUUGAGGGACGAAGGCUUGGGUAACGAACAGGAUUAGAUACCCUAGUAGUCCUUGCAGAAAAUUAUAAAUGCCAUAGAUUAGAUUUUUUUUAGUCUAUUAAUGAAAGUGUAAGCAUUUCACCUCAAGAGUAAUGUGGCAACGCAGAAACUGAAAUCAUUAGACCGUUUCUGAAACCA